AUUGAACGCUGGCGGCAGGCCUAACACAUGCAAGUCGAGCGGAUGAAGGGAGCUUGCUCCUGGAUUCAGCGGCGGACGGGUGAGUAAUGCCUAGGAAUCUGCCUGGUAGUGGGGGAUAACGUCCGGAAACGGGCGCUAAUACCGCAUACGUCCUGAGGGAGAAAGUGGGGGAUCUUCGGACCUCACGCUAUCAGAUGAGCCUAGGUCGGAUUAGCUAGUUGGUGGGGUAAAGGCUUACCAAGGCGACGAUCCGUAACUGGUCUGAGAGGAUGAUCAGUCACACUGGAACUGAGACACGGUCCAGACUCCUACGGGAGGCAGCAGUGGGGAAUAUUGGACAAUGGGCGAAAGCCUGAUCCAGCCCUGCCGCGUGUGUGAAGAAGGUCUUCGGAUUGUAAAGCACUUUAAGUUGGGAGGAAGGGCAGUAAGUUAAUACCUUGCUGUUUUGACGUUACCAACAGAAUAAGCACCGGCUAACUUCGUG
rnacentral:rRNA from 1 species